rnacentral:rRNA from 1 species
UGGGGAAUAUUGCACAAUGGAGGAAACUCUGAUGCAGCAACGCCGCGUGAGUGAUGAAGGUCUUCGGAUUGUAAAACUCUGUCUUCUGGGACGAUAAUGACGGUACCAGAGGAGGAAGCCACGGCUAACUACGUGCCAGCAGCCGCGGUAAUACGUAGGUGGCAAGCGUUGUCCGGAUUUACUGGGCGUAAAGGAUGUGUAGGCGGAUAUUUAAGUGAGAUGUGAAAUCCCCGGGCUUAACUUGGGGGCUGCAUUUCAAACUGGAUGUCUAGAGUGCAGGAGAGGAAAGCAGAAUUCCUAGUGUAGCGGUGAAAUGCGUAGAGAUUAGGAAGAAUACCAGUGGCGAAGGCGGCUUUCUGGACUGUAACUGACGCUGAGGCAUGAAAGCGUGGGGAGCAAACA